CAGUAGCCGCGGGAAUACAGAGGGUGCAAGCGUUAAUCGGAAUUACUGGGCGUAAAGCGCGCGUAGGUGGUUUGUUAAGUUGGAUGUGAAAUCCCCGGGCUCAACCUGGGAACUGCAUCCAAAACUGGCAGGCUAGAGUAGGGCAGAGGAUAGUGGAAUUUCCGGUGUAGCAGUGAAAUGCGUAGAGAUCGGAAGGAACAUCUGUGGCGAAGGCGACUAUCUGGGCCAACACUGACACUGAGGCACGAAAGCGUGGGGAGCAAACAGGAUUAGAUACCCCCGUAGUCCCUGUCUCUUAUAC
rnacentral:rRNA from 1 species